CCUACGGGUGGCAGCAGUGAGGAAUAUUGGUCAAUGGACGAAAGUCUGAACCAGCCAAGUAGCGUGAAGGAUGAAUGCCCUAUGGAUUGUAAACUUCUUUUGUCAAGGAAUAAAACGAGGCACGUGUGCCUUUUUGCAUGUACUUUAUGAAUAAGGAUCGGCUAACUCCGUGCCAGCAGCCGCGGUAAUACGGAGGAUCCGAGCGUUAUCCGGAUUUAUUGGGUUUAAAGGGAGCGUAGAUGGGUUGUUAAGUCAGUUGUGAAAGUUCGGGGCUCAACCGUCAAAGUGCCUUUGAUACUGGCAGUCUUGAGUAGAGGAGAGGUAGGCGGAAUUCGUGGUGUAGCGGUGAAAUGCUUAGAUAUCACGAAGAACCCCGAUUGCGAAGGCAGCUUACUAAACGGGGACUGACACUGAGGCUCGAAAGCGUGGGUAUCAAACAGGAUUAGAUACCCGUGUAGUC
rnacentral:rRNA from 1 species